ACAUGCCCGUCUUGGCUUUGUUGUUUCUUCAUCAUCAUUAAUCAUCCAAGCAGUAACUUCAAAGGGGCUACGCUGUCUUCUCCACACAGGAAAAAGAACGGUUGAAGCAAGAAAAACGUGAUGAGAAAAGAUUAAAUAAAGAGCGUAAACUAGAGCAGCGAAGAUUAGAAUUAGAAAUGGCAAAGGAACUAAAGAAGCCUAAUGAAGACAUGUGCUUAGCAGACCAAAAGCCUUUGCCAGAGUUGCCUCGUAUUCCAGGACUUGUUCUCUCUGGAAGUACAUUUUCAGACUGUCUCAUGGUGGUGCAGUUCUUACGAAACUUUGGUAAAGUUUUGGGCUUUGAUGUGAAUAUUGAUGUUCCAAACCUGAGUGUUCUUCAAGAGGGAUUGCUAAAUAUAGGGGACAGCAUGGGUGAAGUACAAGACUUGCUUGUGAGGCUCCUCUCAGCUGCUGUAUGUGAUCCAGGUCUAAUAACAGGAUACAAGGCUAAAACAGCUCUUGGAGAACAUUUGCUGAAUGUUGGUGUGAAUCGAGACAAUGUUUCCGAGAUUUUACAGAUAUUU
rnacentral:sRNA from 1 species